rnacentral:rRNA from 1 species
UACGGAGGGUGCUAGCGUUGUUCGGAAUUACUGGGCGGAAAGAGCUCGUAGGCGGUCUGUUGCGUCGGCUGUGAAAACCCGAGGCUCAACCUCGGGCCUGCAGCCGAUACGGGCAGACUAGAGUUCGGCAGGGGAGACUGGAAUUCCUGGUGUAGCGGUGAAAUGCGCAGAUAUCAGGAGGAACACCGGUGGCGAAGGCGGGUCUCUGGGCCGAUACUGACGCUGAGGAGCGAAAGCGUGGGGAGCGAACAGG